rnacentral:snRNA from 1 species
AUACUCACUUCAAGAGCACAGAGACUAAAACUGGGAUGAUAUCGAGAAGAUGGGCACGGUCUCCGCACAAGGAUGACACGCAAAUCCGUGAAGCAGUCCGUAUUUUU